AACGAACGCUGGCGGCAUGCCUAACACAUGCAAGUCGAACGAGACCUUCGGGUCUAGUGGCGCACGGGUGCGUAACGCGUGGGAACCUGCCCUUAGGUUCGGAAUAACUCCCCGAAAGGGGUGCUAAUACCGGAUAAUGUCUUCGGACCAAAGGUUUAUCGCCUUUGGAUGGGCCCGCGUUGGAUUAGAUAGUUGGUAGGGUAAAAGCCUACCACUGGUUCGAUACAUAGCUGGUCUGAGAGGAUGAUCAGCCACACUGGGGCUGAGACACGGCCCAGAAUCUUAAGGGAGGGGGGAAAGGGGGAUAAUGGAAAACGGGGGGAAGGAUGAACCAGUAAUGACGGGAGAGUGAUGAAGGGCUUAAGGAUGGAAAGCAAGUUUAACCCGGAAGGUAAUGACAGUACCGGGAGAAUAAGCUCCGGCUAACUCCGUG
rnacentral:rRNA from 1 species